rnacentral:lncRNA from 1 species
CUCCUCAAGGGCAGCAGUCAGCCUGACUCAUCUCCAUGUCCUCAGCACAUGGCAUAAACUCAGGGAUUGGCAGCAUCAUAAGAACCUAUGGAGUGAGCAAUGUCUUACUUCAGAAGCUGAUGACCAAUGGAAAGCAAGGACCAAGAUGACACAGGAGCCAACUGUUAGCAGCACGAAGUGCUUUCCAGUCCCCACAGUUUGCAUUUGGCUGUGUGGUCCCAGUGUUUACAUAUGCAAGUGCCCCUUGCUUGGAAAGACUGUGUCCUACUUGGUAGAGUCCUUAGCUCAUUCCACUUCCUUCUAGACUCAAGACUCCGGAAAGGGCCAUUGCAGGACACUGAAGAUGUGGGGGUGGGGCAUCGGAUCACCUCUACAGAUACCCUCUGGGGUUGCAACAAUGUACAGCAAGAGUCACAUGUCCAGACGCCUACAGAGUCCAGGCAGCCUGUUUGUGCAUGAAACAUUUAAGGAGGUGGAGUCAGGCAUGACAGCAUGGAAGGAGUCCAACCACCACCAUCCAAGGCUGACCAGAAACCACUUUAAGCCUCUUCCAUCCUGCUACGGUUUUACACCUCCUAAAGAUAUAUAAUCAUGGGUUAAUAAGGCCCAGUAACCAUGGC